AGGAAUCCUGGGCUUCCAUCAAGUUGAAGGAACAUAAGAUGAACCCAUGGAAGGCUUCCUCAGAUCUGGGGAGGGAGCCUGGCCCAAGAGCCCGUGGAGCUAAUGAAAACAGAACAGCUGAAUAGAUUUGCUGGAUUUGGUAUUGGACUUGCAAGUCUCUUUACAGAAAAUGUAUUGGCACAUCCUUGCAUUGUUCUACGCCGCCAAUGUCAGGUUAAUUACCAUGCUCAGCAUUACCAUCUCACUCCAUUUACAGUCAUCAAUAUUAUGUACAGUUUCAACAAAACUCAGGGACCUAGAGCCCUGUGGAAAGGAAUGGGAAGUACAUUUAUUGUCCAGGGAGUCACACUUGGAGCAGAAGGCAUAAUUAGUGAAUUUACACCUUUGCCAAGGGAGGUUUUACAUAAAUGGAGUCCUAAACAAAUAGGAGAACACCUUCUACUGAAAUCCCUAACUUACGUGGUGGCAAUGCCUUUUUAUUCAGCAAGUCUGAUUGAAACAGUGCAGGCAACUAUACUCUUCAUUUAGACAUCUCAGAACACAGCCUAUAACUUGCUC
rnacentral:sRNA from 1 species